AGAAAUGACGGUAUUAUAUGAAUAAGCACCGGCUAACUCCGUGCCAGCAGCCGCGGUAAUACGAGGGUGCAAGCGUACUCGGAAUCACUGGGCGUAAAGAGCGUGUAGGCGGAUUGAUAAGUUUGAAGUGAAAUCCUAUAGCUUAACUAUAGAACUGCUUUGAAAACUGUUAAUCUAGAAUGUGGGAGAGGUAGAUGGAAUUUCUGGUGUAGGGGUAAAAUCCGUAGAGAUCAGAAGGAAUACCGAUUGCGAAGGCGAUCUACUGGAACAAUAUUGACGCUGAGACGCGAAAGCGUGGGGAGCAAACAGGAUUAGAUACCCUGGUAGUCCACGCCCUAAACGAUGUACACUAGUUGUUGUGAGGCUCGACCUUGCAGUAAUGCAGUUAACACAUUAAGUGUACCGCCUGGGGAGUACGGUCGCAAGAUUAAAACUCAAAGGAAUAGACGGGGACCCGCACAAGCGGUGGAGCAUGUGGUUUAAUUCGACGAUACACGAAGAACCUUACCUGGACUUGACAUAGUAAGAAUGAUUUAGAGAUAGAUUAGUGUCUGCUUGCAGAAACUUGCAUACAGGUGCUGCACGGCUGUCGUCAGCUCGUGUCGUGAGAUGUUGGGUUAAGUCCCGCAACGAGCGCAACCCUCGUCCUUAGUUGCUAACAGUUCGGCUGAGAACUCUAAGGAGACUGCCUACGCAAGUAGGAGGAAGGUGAGGAUGACGUCAAGUCAUCAUGGCCCUUACGUCCAGGGCUACACACGUGCUACAAUGGGGUAUACAAAGAGCAGCAAUACGGUGACGUGGAGCAAAUCUCAAAAAUGCCUCCCAGUUCGGAUUGUAGUCUGCAACUCGACUACAUGAAGUUGGAAUCGCUAGUAAUCGUAGAUCAGCUAUGCUACGGUGAAUACGUUCCCGGGUCUUGUACUCACCGCCCGUCACACCAUGGGAGUUGAACUCAUUCGAAGCGGGGAUGCUAAAGUAGCUACCUUCCACAGUGGAUUCAGCGACUGGGGUGAAGUCGUAACAAGGUAGCCGUAAU
rnacentral:rRNA from 1 species